UACGUAGGGUGCAAGCGUUGUCCGGAAUUAUUGGGCGUAAAGAGCUUGUAGGCGGUUCGUCGCGUCUGCUGUGAAAUUUCGGGGCUCAACCCCGAACUUGCAGUGGGUACGGGCAGACUAGAGUGUGGUAGGGGAGACUGGAAUUCCUGGUGUAGCGGUGAAAUGCGCAGAUAUCAGGAGGAACACCGAUGGCGAAGGCAGGUCUCUGGGCCACUACUGACGCUGAGAAGCGAAAGCAUGGGGAGCGAACAGG
rnacentral:rRNA from 1 species